GGUCGAUUAGCUCAGCUGGUUAGAGCGUGGUGCUAAUAGAAUUUCCUCUAUUGCGACGCCAAGGCCGUGGGUUCGAUCCCCACAUUGACCU